rnacentral:rRNA from 1 species
UUGGAGGGCAAGUCUGGUGCCAGCAGCCGCGGUAAUUCCAGCUCCAAUGGCGUAUAUUAAAGUUGUUGCAGUUAAAAAGCUCGUAGUUGAACUUCGGGAUUUACCCAUUGGUCAGGCUUAAUUGUCUGUACUGGUGAGAUAAAUCUCUACCUUCUGAGGAACUUUCAUGUCAUUAAUUUGGUGUGAUUGGAAAUCAGGACUGUUACUUUGAAAAAAUUAGAGUGUUUAAAGCAGGCUAACGUCUGAAUACAUUAGCAUGGAAUAAUGAAAUAGGACGGACUGAUUCUAUUUCGUUGGUUUCUAGGAUCACCGUAAUGAUUAAUAGGGAUAGUUGGGGGCAUUAGUAUUCAAUUGUCAGAGGUGAAAUUCUUGGAUUUAUUGAAGACUAACUACUGCGAAAGCAUUUGCCAAGGAUGUUUUCAUUAAUCAAGAACGAAAGUUAGGGGAUCGAAGACGAUCAGAUACCGUCGUAGUCUUAACCAUAAACUAUGCCGACUAGGGAUCGGACGAAGUUAAUUUUAUAAUGACGCGUUCGGCGCCUUACGGGAAAC